GAUCCUCCCAUUCGUUUCCGGUUCCUUCGGGCGAGAGGCAGCCGGGUCAGGGGUCACGAGCAGAAGGGCUUCUCUGGCCCGGGCCGGCGCGGGAGGGCUGUGUGAUGGCCUCGGAGCGCCCGGAGCCGGAGGUGGAAGAAGCUGGGCAUGUGUUCCUGCUGAUGAAAAAGGAUUACCGAAUCUCCCGAAAUGUUCGCCUGGCUUGGUUCCUCAAUCACCUGCAUCAGACUGUGCAGGCCACACCCCAGGAGAUGCUGCUUCAGUCUGAGCAGGAGCUGGAAGUCCUCAGUGUCCUGCCUCCUGGGUGGCAGCCAGAUGAACCAGUGGUCCCCAGGCCGUUCCUCCUUGUACCCUCCACCCGGGUCACCUUCCUGGCUUGGCAGUAUCGAUUUGUCAUCGAGCUGGACCUCAGCCCAUCCACUGGCAUUGUGGACGAUUCCACAGGGGAGAUCCUGUUUGAUGAAGUUUUCCAUGCCCUGUCCCGCUGCCUGGGCGGGCUGCUCCGGCCCUUCCGAGUGCCUGGGUCUUGCAUCGACUUCCAGCCUGAGAUCUACGUCACCAUCCAGGCCUACUCCUCGAUCAUUGGCCUGCAGUCCCACCAGGUGCUGGUCCAGGGCUGCCUAUUGGACCCUUCCCAGAGGGAGGUGUUCCUGCAGCAGGUGUAUGAGCAGCUCUGUCUCUUCGAGGAUAAGGUGGCCACAAUGCUGCAGCAGCAGUAUGACCCCCCGAGCCAGGUGGGAAGCCCUGCCUCAGUACAGUCUGGAGCUUCAUGUGGAGCUGGACUCCGUGCCCAUCUGAGGGCAGAGGACCAGUCCCCAGACUCAGGGGAGCCCCCUGGCCGGAAAGUGGGCGUCUCCAUGGUGACAGCUGAUCUUGGGCUGGUCAGUAUGAUUCGUCAGGGCAUCUUGGCGCUGCAGUUGCUGCCCUCCAACUCUAGUGCAGGCAUCAUUGUGAUCACAGAUGGGGUGACCAGUGUCCCUGAUGUUGCUGUCUGUGAGACACUGCUGAACCAGCUUCGCAGCGGCACUGUGGCGUGUUCCUUUGUGCAGGUGGGAGGAGUUUACUCUUACGACUGCAGUUUUGGCCACGUGCCCAAUGUGGAAUUGAUGAAAUUCAUCGCAAUGGCAACCUUUGGCUCCUACCUGUCCACUUGUCCUGAGCCCGAGCCCGGCAACCUGGGUCUGACUGUUUACCACCGGGCCUUUCUCCUCUACUCCUUCCUGCGCAGUGGGGAAGCCCUGAACCCUGAAUAUUACUGCGGCUCUCAGCACCGCCUGUUUAACGAGCACCUGGUCUCCGCGAGCAGCAACCCCGCCCUGGCCCUGCGCCGCAAGAAGCACACUGAGAAGGAGGUGGCGGCUGACUUGGUCAGCACCGUGUCGGUGCGGCUUCGAGAGGGCUACAGCGUCCGAGAGGUCGCGCUGACCAAAGGAGGGUCCCAGCUGGAGGUGAAGCUGGUGCUGCUGUGGAAACACAACAUGCGCAUCGAGUACGUGGCUGUGGCGCCCUGGCCCCUGGAACCCGAGGGCCCUCGCGUCACCCGCGUGGAAGUGACUAUGGAAGGCGGCUAUGACAUCCUGCAUGACGUGUCCUGUGCCCUGAGGCAACCCAUCCGCUCGCUGUAUCGGACCCACGUGAUCCGGCGGUUCUGGAACACACUGCAGAGCAUUAACCAGACGGACCAGAUGCUCGCCCACCUGCAGUCCUUCUCCUCGGUCCCGGAGCACUUCACGCUCCCCGACAGCACCAAGAGCGGCGUGCCUCUCUUCUACAUCCCGCCCGGCUCCACCACCCCGGUGCUGAGCCUUCAGCACAGUGGUUCCGACUCCUCCCACGCCCAGUUUGCGGCCUACUGGAAGCCAGUGCUCUCCAUGGAUGCCAACUCAUGGCAGCGCUGGCUGCACAUGCAUCGCCUGGUGCUAAUCCUGGAGCACGACACGCCGACCCCCAAGCACCUGCACACCCCGGGCAGCAACGGCCGCUACAGCACGGUCCAGUGCAGGAUCUCGCACUCCUCGCUGACCUCCCUGCUCCGCGACUGGAGCAGCUUCGUGCUCGUCGAGGGCUACUCCUAUGUGAAGCUGCUGUCCAGGGGCCCAGAGCAGCCCCCCUCCUCCUUCUACAUGAUCCGCAUCAUUUCCAAGGCCCCCUGCAUGGUGCUCCGCCUGGGCUUCCCCAUCGGCACGCCCGCACAGGCUCGGCACAAGAUCGUCUCAGACUUGCAGGAGGAAAUCCUGCGCCUGCGUUUCCCCCACCGGGUACAAAGCAAGGAGCCGACGCCCAAGGUGAAACGGAAAGGGCUGGGGGGCGCCGGCGGGGGCAGCUCUCCCUCCAAGUCGCCCCCCAUGCUGGGGCCACAGCAGGCCCUGUCUGACCGGCCCUGCCUUGUGGUCGUGCAUAAGCCCCUGGACAAGCUGCUCAUCAGGUAUGAGAAGCUGCCCCUGGACUACCGGGCGCCCUUCUUGCUGACCUUGGAGCCACCAGGGCCGCUGCCCUUGGUGUCGGGCCGCUCAGCCUCUUCUAGCCUAGCGUCGCUGUCCCGCUACCUCUACCAUCAGCGCUGGCUCUGGAGCGUCCCCCCGGGCCUGGCCCCCGCCCUGCCGCUCAGCGCCAUCGCCCAGCUCCUCUCCAUCCUCACCGAAGUCCGACUCUCCGAAGGGUUCCACUUCGCCUGCAGCGGGGAGGGAAUCGUCAACAUGGUCCUGGAGCUGCCGAUCCAGAACGAGCCCCCGGGGCAGGCCGCGGCGGCAGAGAGGCACACGUGCGUGGUCCAGUACAUCCUCUUCCCCCCACACGCGACCUCCACCAAGGACAGCUUCUCAACAGACGAUGACAAUGACGUGGAGGUGGAGGCCCUGGAGGGAGACUCAGAGCUCAACCUGGUGACCGAGGUGUGGGUGGAGCCCCAGUACGGAAGGGUGGGACCCGGCCCGGAGAGCUGGAGGCACCUCCGGGACUUGACCUACUCCGAGAUCCCUGGCGCCCUCCACCCUCGGGACGUUGCCUGCAUAGGCUCCAUGCUGAGCUUUGAGUACCUGAUACAGCUGUGCCAGAGCAAGGAGUGGAGUCCCCUGCCCCCGGAGCCCAGGGUCUCUGAUGGGCUGGACCCGGGUGGAGACAGCUGUGUCCACGAGACCCCCUUCCGCUUUGACCUCGUGGGCCUGCUGCCUCAGUGCCAGCAGCUGCAGAUGUUCUUCCUCCUGCUCGCCAGAGAGCCGGAGGGCGUCCCUGUCGCCGAGGGGCCCUGUCCCGCCAACGACCUGGUGCUGUGCCUGCUGCACAGCUGCCUGGGGCAGGAGCUGAGUGACCGGGAGAUCCCGCUGUCCGCCGCCGACCAGGCUGCCUUCCUGCGCGAGGUGCUGCGGCGGACGUGUUACAGUCCAGGUGCAGAGGGGCUACCAGUGGAGGACGGCGGGACCCUGAAGGGUCAGAGGCCAGGCCCUCUCGAAAGUCUGAGGCCGGCCAGCUCUGCCCAGCCCCCUCAGUGGCGCUGCUACGCAAGGCUCGUGAACCCCCAGCACGUGUUUCUGACGUUUCUCCCCGCCACCUUCCCAGAUGUCCAGCAUCUGGCUGCCUAUGGCCUGGAGGGGCCGUCUCAAGAGGAGACAAGGCCCAAGUUCGGGGACGGGCACGGGGCCUCCACCCUGAGAGGUCUGGGAGGAGCUGGGGCCAAGGCUGCAGAGCCCCAGGUCCCCAUCCUCAGUGUCACCCCGGCUGGCGACAGUGCCCAGCAUCCAGGAGAGCUGAGCCCGCCCUUCCGUCGCGACGUCCAGGCUUGCACUGGGCGUCAGGCUUCACAGACAGAGGCCGCCGAUGGGCCCCGGCCCCGGUGUCCUGUCUACAUCUACAGCUGUGCUCUGGAAGCGCUGAGGGAGCAGCUGGUUGGCGUGCAGCCCCCUCAGGCGCCCCGAGACCUCGUCUUCCGGACGCAGUUCCUCGACCAGCCCUCCCCCGCCUCAGCCUGGAUGGAGCCCAGGCACAAGGAGGCGGCCAACCAUUGUGCCUUGCUGCAGGAGCACGCGCAGCGAUGCUACGUCCGCGGGCUGUUCCGGAGCCUGCAGCAGGCCCAGAGCGUGACCUCCCAGGACCUGCUAAUAGCCGUGGAUGCCUGUGAGGAGCUGCUGCAGGAAGUAGACAUCACCCCCUUCCUGCUCGCGCUGUGCGGCCACACUCGGGGUUUGCCUCAUGCACCCCCAAGCCCUGGUCCUCUCAGCCCCGGGCUCUUCAGCAGCAGCGUCGAGGAGGGCCCCGAGCCUCGGGAGCGAGCCGUCCUGGCUUCCGAGUCCAGCAUAGAGACCGAGGACCUGAGCGAGCCUGAGUUUCAGAGCAGCCGAGUCCCCGGCCAUCCAGACCCCGGCCUGGAGAUCUCUCUGACAGACGUCUGUCAGCUCAGGGGGGAGGCACACGAUGCCCUUCACAGCCUCAUCCAGGAGAAGUUCCUGGAGAUCAGUGGUCUCCACUUCCGCACAGUGCCCUCCAACCCCCACUACUUCUUCUAUUGCCCCCCGUCCAGCAGGCGCGAGGACGAGGGCCCCCGGGACACAGUAGACAGAAAAGUCAGCGACCUGGAGUUUUCAGAGGCUGAGCUCAUGGGAGAAGAAGGAGACACAUCUGCCUGCUGUGUGGUCACUGAGAGUGACCCGGAGCUGGAGGUGGAAUACCGCGAGAGCCGGGAAGCAGACCUGGGGCCUGCCGGGCUGGACUCCGCCUCUCUGUCGGACGCAGACACCGUGAACCCCGACGAGGACUCCUUCAGUGUCCUGGGGGGCGACUCACCCACCGGGCCCGAGAGCCUCGCUCAUGACCUGCCACCCCUCUUCCUGCACCUCACGUGCUCCGUGCGGCUGCGCGGGCAGCACAGCUCAGUCCCCGUGAGCAGCCUGCCCACCUGCCUGGGCCAGGUGCUUUCUAGUCUGGAGGGUCCCCUCGUCGGAGGCCGAGUUCCCCUGAGGGACCUCAGUGUCACUCUGGAUGUCUUCGUGCUGACCUUGCCCCUGGAAGUGGAGCUGCCGCCGACCUCAGACCCUCAGCACCACCGGUCGACGUCUGAGAGCAGCGCUUCCUUCCCGCGAUCUCCGGGGCAGCCGUCGGAUGAUGGCCUGGGGCCUCCACUGCCACCUCCAGGAGAAGACAGGCACCCGGGACUGUCUAACUUGGCCGGGCCGCACAGGUUGGCUAUUGAGACCACCGUGAGUGAGAUCCGCUGGCUGCUGGAAGACGAGAUGGUGGGGGCGCUGCGGAGAGGGGGCAUCCCCCAGAGCCCUGCCCUGCACCGCGCAGCCGCCCACAUCCACGGCUCCCCCGGACGCCCCACCUGCCUACGCCAGACGCUGCCGCUGAGUUUUGUGUUUGGGCCCGAGCGUUCGCUAACACAGUUCAAGGAGGAGUUCCGCCGCCUCCACCUCCCUGGUCACGUUCUUCUCGAGGACCCUGACAGCGGCUUCUUCUUUGUGGCAGCUGGCCAGCAGCCAGGCGGGUCCCACGGGGGGCCCCCUUCGGCAGCCUGGGCUUGGCACAGCCCUGAGGACAGGGCGGAAGGCGUCGAAGGGGAGGCCCUGGCAGCCAGCCCCCAAGUCCCUGGCUCCCCAGAGGAUUCCGAGGGCCCCCUGCUCAUCAGUCUGCCCAGCCCGUCUCAGGGAGGGAGCCAGCCUGGGCCCAGCCAGGGACUCAGCCUCAUGUCCAGUCAGGGCAGUGUGGAUUCGGACCACCUAGGUUAUGAUGGUGGCAGCAGCGGCUCAGACAGUGAGGGUCCCAGUGAGACCCUGGGGGAGAAGGCCCCCUUCACGCUGAGGACCCCCCCUGGGCUGGCGCCUCCACAGCCUUCGCUCACGGGCCUCCCUGGGCCCUGCCUGCCUGACUUCUGGCUCAUCGUCCGGGUGCUGCAGGACCGCGUGGAAGUGUAUGCGCACGCGCGGAGCCUGGUUCGGGAGGAUGGGGGGCCAGGCACCGAGUGUCGCCACCUGCAGCAGCUCCUGGUGCGGCGAGUCGGGGAGAUCUGCCGGGAGGUCAACCAGCGGCUGCUGCUCCAGGAUCUUCACGACAGUCACGUGUGUAACUCUCUGCUGGUGGCCGAGAGCGAGGAAGAUCUGUGGCGCAGCGAGACCCCCUACCACUCCCGCCAGCGGGCGCCGCCGCCCAGCGACGACUAUGCUGCGGAUGACAGCUGUGGACCGCGAGGCUAUCUGGCCGCCACCAUGCAGUUUGUCCCUGGCCAUUUCUCCUGUGACGUGGUGUGGGGAACCGUGAUCCGGGUCCAUUCCCGCCUCAAAAUGGGGCCCAGCAUGGGGGUCUCUCGGGCCAUCCAAGCCCUGCGCUCCGUGCUCAACGCCUUCUCUGUGGUGAACCGGAAGAACAUGUUUGUGUAUCAGGAGCGAGCAACAAAGGCUGUGUACUACCUGCGGCUCCUGGAGACGUCCUGCACUGAACGCUCGUGGGACAGUGACACCCUGCCCCCGUCUCUAGCUCUGUCCCGAAGCCAGGAGCCCAUCUACUCGGAGGACACCUCGGGCCCUCGUUCUCCCCUGGACGUGGCUUCCAGCCGCGGUUCAGACGCCGCUCGUCCUGUGGGCCAAGUGGACAGACACAUCCAGCUGCUGGUGCACGGCGUAGGGCAGGCAGGUCCCGAGAUCACGGACGAGCUGGUGCGGGUUCUGCGUCGGCGCCUGGACGAGGCCACGCUGGACGUGAUCACAGUCAUGCUUGUCCGGAACUGCAAGCUGACCCCAGCCGAUGUGGAGUUCAUCCAGCCCCCCGGAAGUCUCCCCUCAGAGGUGCUGCACCUGGCGCUGCCCGCCUCCUGCAGGCCCUGGCUCCCUGCGCUGGCCUGGUACCUGCGGCAGAACCUGCUCGUCUUCCUGCACUCCCCCAAGUACACGGACAGCAACAGCCGCAACCACUUCCAGCACCCACUCCCACCCCAGGGCGGCCUUCCUGACUGGGACAUCUACCUGUACAACAAGCCUGGAGGACAGGGCACUGGGGGCAAAGGGGUCGCCUGCAUCACUGUAGCUUUGGUGGAUGAGGGAGGAGCCCCCAUCUCACUGGCAUCGUGGCCCCCCUCUUCUCCGGGACCCCCAGACUCACUGCAGGAGGAGGAAUUUGAGCAGCUGACUCAAGUCACGCGCUGCUCGGUUGUGCCAGACAAUUCUUCAGCUCCGGACGGGGCCCCGCGGCUGCGACUGGAUGUGUGGGGCAAGGGGAACAUCAGCAUCGUGCAGCUGGAGGAGAAGCUCCGCGCAGCCGCCCGCCAGGCCCUGGCCGACGCCGUCAUGGAGUUCCGGCUGCUGCCAGCCUCGCUCUGUUCCGAGGACGCAGCCUCAGGAGGUCUCAAGAGCGGGCCGUUGGAGACCAAGAGCCCUGCAGGCCGCGCUGGCACCUUUCCCCCUGGCCCUGGCCCUGGCCCUGGCGAGCCUGUGACUCCCCCCAGCAAAGCCGGCCGCCGUAGCUUCUGGGACAUGCUGAGUAAAACAGAAUGUGGGGACUUGGGUUCCCCCAAAACUACGGAUGACAUCGUCCUGGAUCGGCCAGAAGACACUCGGGGCCGGAGGCGCCAUAAAACAGAAAGUGUCCGGACUCCCGGUGGGACUGAGCGGACAGUGGGCCCGGAGUCCGGAGCCCAGAGACAAAGACGCAGGACCACGCAGCUGGAGGAGGGCGAAGUGGGGGCCCUGCAGCCUGUGUUUGCUUGGGUCGCUCAGCGCUGGAUGGAGUUCAUGGUUCAGAUUGGAUGCGCCUCGGUGUCCAAGAGCUCCACCCACAUGGUGUCACGGUUCCUCCUGCCAUCGGUCCUGUCGGAGUUCGCCGCCCUGGUCACCUCGAUGGCUGGAGACACCAGGGUCCGCAUCUUUGAGCAGCAGUUGGCUUCUGAGCCAGAGACCUUCAUUCCUUGUUCCCUUGGACAGCUGGGCCCAGCGCCCCGCCCAGCAGCCAAGCGGCAUCUGCUGCUUCUGGGAAGGAACUUCUUGCAGUGGAGGAGACCCACCCAGCAGGCUGCCAAAGCCGUGCAGCGCUUCGAGCCGGGAGGCGAUGGGAGCUCGGGGCGGAGUGCUCCCCGGCAGAGGUUCUUGCUGCUGGAGGUCACGGACAAGAAGCUCCAGCUGCUGACCUACAACUGGGCUCCAGACCUGGGGGCGGCACUGGGCCGAGCACUGGUCCGCCUGGUGCAGUGGCAGAACGCCCGGGCCCACCUCAUCUUCUGCCUCCUCAGCCAGAAGCUUGGGCUCUUCCACCACUACGGCCAGCUGGACUUCCCGGUGCGGGACGAAAAGGAGCCCAACCCAUUCCUGCUGCCGACCGUGGAAGCGGAGACCCUCAUCCGGUGCGCAAGCCCCCCGCUGAGCCGCGAGCAGGGCCGGCUGAGCGGGUCCUCUCGGGGCGGGGGCCCCCUUCCGCUGGACACGUUCCCCUUCGACGAGGCCCUGAGGGACAUCGCGGCCGCCCGCCCCAGCUCCUCCCUGGGCCCUGCGCCCAGACCGCCCGACCCCGUCGCCUUCCACGGACAGCAGUUCCUGGAGAUCAAGAUGGCAGAGCGCCGAGAGCUGGAGCGCCAGAUGAAGAUGGAGAACCUGUUUGUAACGUGGCAGCAGCGCUCCGCCCCAGCCAGCAUGCCCAUCAGUGCCGGGGAGCUGGAGACCCUGAAGCAGUCGUCCCGCCUGGUGCAUUACUGUGCGACGGCCCUGCUCUUCGACCCAGCGGCCUGGCUGCACGGGCCCCCGGAGACCUCUGGGCCCCCCGAGGGGCAGCGGCGCCAUCGCCCUGAGUCAGGGUCUGGGAGCCGAGAGGGCCCCGCAAGCUGCGACUCCUCGGACGGGCCUCCGCCAGGCGCCCGGGAGGAGCCUUGGCUGAAGGAGCUGAGCUUGGCUUUCCUGCAGCAGUACGUGCAGUACCUGCAGAGCAUGGGCUUUGUGCUGGUGCCGCUGCGGCCCCCCUCACCCGCCCGCAGAGCUGAUGCCCGCGUGCGGCUUCUGUGCUUCCACGCUGACGUCCAUCCGACACAGCAGUCCUGGGCCUGGCCCUUCGUAGCUGCUGUCCCGAUGGCUCCCUGACCUCUCCUGAGCCCCGUGUGGCGCCUGGCCUGGGAAGAGUCCUUUUCGCACCGUGCUUGGUUUUUCUCCUCCCCAAGGACCCUGCCCUGGGCCCCCUCCCAUCCCUGUCUUCUGGCCUGUUCUCGGUCAUGUUCACUCACUGGCCUGAGUCCUGGGCGCUAGGAGACGCUCCCCUGGCCCACCUUCCGGCUCCCCGGCACACAGUGACGCCUCGGCACCCACCCUUCCCAUCCUGCGCCAGGUCUCAAGUUCCCAUUUCUGUGGCCCAUGCUCUCUGCCCCUCUCAGCAUCUGAGUCUGCAGGUUCUGGGUUUCUAGCCGCUUCCCCGUGGCUGCCUGGGAGAAAGUCCACUCAGCUUAUGCAUUGACGUUCAUGUAUCCCGAUGCGUGAGUCUGUUUUCUCCCUCCUCUCUGUUCUCAGUUUGAUGCCUUUUCAGGCUGGCAAACGUAAGCUGUGCCUCCUUACUCAGGACCCCCUUUGGUGCAGAAAGCCAGUUCCGACUACUUGGUGUUUUGUAACCAGCUCGCCACCUCCCAGGCCUCCCACCCUUGGCCAGGCCUUCAGAAGAACGGACUGGCUUGAGCCUCUGGGACAUUUCUGUGGGUGCCCCUCUCUCUUCUUAGUGACAGAGCCCAGGAGCCCUGCACUGCCCUCCACAGCCAGGUCUUAGCUGUCGGGGUUUUUCUGGAGUUUGCAUUUUCCCAUUCAGUUAUGUUCUUCCCAGAAAUCAGAAUUCCCUUUUAAGACCAUAGACACUAGAUUUAAACCUACAUUUACAGAGAAGGAUUUGAAGUCAGGCCUCCGUUCCUCACCAAUCACUCUUUGGGUCUAGUCCCUAUUUCCCUGAGGAUUCAGUGGGACACUGGCCCCCUGGCAGAAGUUUGGCAGUUUAUAGCUCCCGAUACAAUGAGUGGGUCCCACUGGCCCUUUCUGUUUUGUCUGUGUUUGCAAUAUUUUUUUCCCUUUAGUUCCUGGUUGAGAAGUAAAGAACAGUAGGCCCAUGGAACGCUGCAACUACUCUUCCCAGAGCAAAACAGGACCCCUUUUCCCUCUCAGAGGAACACCCCUAACCAGGGCAGAAGCAGCUCCUUGAAUCUGCCCCAGGAAGUCUCAGGCAUACGUCCCCCUCUCCCCUCCUGCCCUCCUCUGCUGCCCCCAGUAGGCAGAUGCCUCCAGCCCCUCACAGGGGUCUCGCCUUAGUCCUGGCAGCCUCGCCAGCCCUACCCUCGUCCUCCCGCUGGAAGAGGGGCCUGGCCUCCCCCUCCCCCCAAAGCAGCAGCUGCUGUGGAGAGAGCCCUGCCCUGCAGUCCAGCCCUGGGCCCCACUCACCCUGAGCAGGUCCUUCCAUCUCGGGGCCUGUCCUCUCUCCUGCAAAACUAUCCCACAUGAACUGCACUCGCGAUCUGACAGCCGCAACCCUUCACCCACCGGCCUGCCUCACCCCCUGUUCUGCAGCACCAGCCGGCUGCGGGCCAUGGCCAUCCUUGGAACAGAGGGUCGGGGCUCCUUCUCCUGCCCGAAAGCCAAGGCCGACGGGAGCCCCAAGAGCUCUGGCUCUCCAGUCACCACAUACCACCUGCAGCGGGCACUGCCCGGGGGCAUCAUCCUCAUGGAGCUGGCUUUCCAGGGCUGUUACUUCUGUGUCAAACAGUUUGCUCUGGAAUGUUCCCGAAUCCCCAUGGGGCAAGCUGUCAACUCGCAGCUGUCCAUGCUGUUCACAGAGGAGUGCGACAAGGUGCGGGACCUGAUGCACGUGCACUCGUUCAGCUACGACUUCCACCUGCGCCUCGUGCACCAGCACGUGCUGGGCGCCCACCUGGUGCUGCGGCACGGCUACCACCUCACCACCUUCCUGCGGCACUUCCUGGCCCACCACCCUGACGGGCCCCACUUUGGCCGCAAUCACAUUUACCAAGGGACCCUGGAGCUCCCCACGCCACUCAUUGCCGCCCACCAGCUGUACAACUACGUGGCCGACCACGCCAGCUCCUACCACAUGAAGCCGCUGCGGAUGGCCCGGCCUGGGGGGCCCGAGCAUAACGAGUACGCCCUGGUGUCAGCGUGGCACAGCUCCGGCUCCUACCUGGACGCGGAGGGACGUCGCCACCAGGACGACUUCGACGUGUCUCUGCUUGUCUGCCACUGGGCUGCACCCUUCGAGGAACAAGGGGAAGCCGAGAGGCACGUUCUGCGGCUGCAGUUCUUCGUGGUGCUCACCAGCCAACGAGAGCUCUUCCCCAGACUCACCGCUGACCUGCGCCGGUUCCGGAAGCCGCCCAGGCUGCCCCCUGAGCCAGAGGCUCCCGGGAGCUCAGCUGGUGGCCCUGGGGAGGUCUCCGGGGUUGGUCUGGCCCCUGGACCAGCCCCCCUCUUCCCUCCACUGGCUGCAGAGGUGGGCGUGGCACGGGCACGGCUGGCUCAGCUGGUACGGCUGGCUGGAGGGCACUGUCGCCGGGACACCCUUUGGAAGCGCCUCUUCUUGCUGGAACCAGCAGGACCUGAUCGGCUGCGGCUAGGGGGGCGCCUGGCCCUGGCCGAGCUGGAGGAGCUCCUAGAAGCAGUCCAUGCCAAAUCCAUUGGGGACAUCGACCCCCAGCUGGACUGCUUCCUGUCCAUGACGGUCUCCUGGUACCAGAGCCUGAUCAAGGUUCUCCUAAGCCGCUUUCCCCAGAGCUGUCGCCACUUCCAGAGCCCAGACUUGGGAACCCAGUACCUGGUUGUGCUCAAUCAGAAGUUCACAGACUGUUUCGUGUUAGUGUUUCUGGAUUCCCACUUGGGAAAGACGUCUCUGACGGUAGUUUUCCGAGAGCCCUUCCCAGUACAGCCGCAGGACAGCGAGAGCCCCCCCGCCCAGCUGGUCUCCACCUACCACCACCUGGAGUCGGUCAUCAACACAGCCUGCUUCACCCUCUGGACCCGCCUCCUCUGAGGGAUGGAUCACCGAGCGUCCUCUGUAAUUGCCCACCUGAAGCAGGACUGACCCGCCCUUCUGGGCACCAGGGCAAGAGCAGACCCUGAGGAACGCCCAAGGUUUUAUGACUCUGACUUGGGAGGCUGGUAGCAAGAGCCACCCUGCCUAAACACGUGCAGCCACUGACCAGCCAGGGCGCCAAAGGGUCCAGUGCUCUGCCUGAGGUGCCCGUGUCUCUUCCGGCUCUGGGCCCUUCCAGGAGCCGCCUCCUUCCUGCUCUCCUGGGGGAGUCUGGGAAUUCUUCGCAUCAGGUGGCACGUAGGCCCUUUAGAGCUCCUCUUCCAUGGAUCCUGCCUCCAAGUCUUGGAUGGCUGUCAGCCACCCCCAUAGUGAGUCCGCUGGUCUUCACUUCCCACUGGGACUUCACUGCCGGACGUGGCCAUUGAGCUAAGACACCCUGGUUCCAAUCCCAGCUCUGCCAUCGAAGCACCUGUGGCCCUUUGCUCUCGACCCUUGGUUUGUCAUCCAUACAUGAGGAGGCGGACUCAGAAGCUCGCCCAUCUCCAGAGCAACCCUGGCGCAGAUGGGAGGACUUGAAUCUGAGCUGCACGUCCCUUCUUUGCAGGAGGGAAGCGACCCCAAGAAACUGCAAAGUGAGACACUGUG